UUGUGAGCGAUUGGAUUGCAAAGUAAACUCGGACUCCUUCAAAACUGCUUCAGCGAAUUCAGUUGAUCGGAGGUCCAUUGCAUGUUGCAUCAUUAUUCUUAGUUCUUUGUUUGUUAUAGCAUUAGCUUUUUUGAGUACCGCAUACGAAUGUAAUAUCCCUGAAGAAUUUUUCAUCAUCAAAGCGACAAGCAUUAAUAGUCUGUGGCUAGGUAGAUAAAAUGAAGAUGAUUCAAUUGAAAAUGGUUGCAUCUGCUUGCUAAUGGCGGCAAAAUCGUUCGAAGCACGUGAAAGAGACUCAGCAAUAAGCAGUAAAUUUUCUGUGGAAGAAAGCAUUUUACUUUGUUUAAACCAAGCUUGGCAAAAGCGUACCGCUAAUGUCGGCUUAUUAGCCAAACAAAAGUUGAUCACCAUCAUCCGAAGAUAGGCGUCAUUAAUCGGGAUAUUAUUAUUCUUGAGGUAUACUAGAAGUUCAAGAGCAGCUUCCAAUUCACCGGUUGACAAUAAAGCCAACAAAGACCUGUCUAUGGCUGUGCGAUUAAUUUCUUUAAAGCUUCCGUUAUAUAACAUAGGCAAUAGAAGCUUAACUCCUGGAACAUAAUAUGAGUAAGAAAAACAUAACAAUAAAUCAUAAUAGAGGUUUUGGAGUUCACUCUUUUCAUCUUUGGAAAGGGCUUCACGGUUAUUAAGAAGUCGUUUAAAUAAAGAGUUUGUGAGGAAGAAGCAAAUUUCAAUGUUUUCACCCGCUUCCGAUGUAUAGACCAGCAACCUGCGAAAGAUUCGACGGGCGACUUUAAAUGCUAUUGGCUGACCUUCUAUAGUUUCAACAAUACCUUCCUUGUCUCUAGUUUUCAAAAGGGUCCAAAAGAUGUUAACAAAAGCAACACGACUUAAAUCAAUCAUGGCAUUAGCUGCAUAUGUACGCAACCUUCGGGCCAAUUCAGCAGAACGGUUUUUAUGAGCAAUGAUACUAGCUUUUUCAAGAAAUCGCAUAGUGAAUAACUCAUUAGAUUGACUGAAUUUAUCCAAAAUUUCAUUGAG